CCCCAGGUGCCCCGGGAAAACUUGGGGGAGAAUGGGCAUCCCACCCCAGCACUUUCUAGGAAGAAGGGCAGCAUUUUGAAGGGCUGGAAGUAGAGGAAGGAGGUUGCGGGUAGAAGACUCCAUACUUUCUGUGACGCCUAUUCCUUAGUCAGAGGCAUGGCUUGCCUGGGCCUCUGGGUGCAGCUGCACAGAUUCAAGCAGCCUGAAGGAAAGGUGACUGACAGCUAAUGAUCUGAAAAGAACUUGUCUCAACUCAACGUCAUUCCUGGCAUUAUCGAACAAAGCAAUAAACCUCACAGAAUGGAAGCUACAGUGUCCAGGGCCAGCUCUGCUAAGGUAACCAAAGACAGAGAAGGAGGCAAAAGUGACAGAAGAAACUCAUGGGAAACCAACAGAAAUAUAAUGGCUUUGGCAGAAAUGCAAUUAUCAAUUGGGAGCUUGUGAUGAAUGUUUUCUCAGUAUCCUAUGCUGAAAACAGGUAGAUACUAAUAUCGAUCUUCAAGGGAGGGCUGUUGAGUAUUGAAUAAGACAAAAACAUGGAAGCAAUCAGCACCAUGCUGGAGAGCCUUUAUAUAACCAAAGAUAUUUUUGGACCAUGAAUUCAGAAAUUCUCGGAGCCACCCAUCAGUGCCUGAGCUUCAGUGAGUCCAUAUCCCAUGUCACCCACGGCAAAGGAGACUCUAAGACUUCUGAAGAGUUUCUUGCUUCUUUCCUGUGGGGCAGUGACUCCACUUCCCAGCAGUAAUGGAAUAUCCUGAAUUAGCUACAUUAAUGUUAGAACCAUUUGGACCUCACCCAGGACUUCAACUACAUUAUGAGUAACUCCUGGACGAUUGGCACAGAAGAAGGCACAAGGCAAAUACCCAUCUCUGUACACCCUGUGCUACUGUGUCAUGUGCUGCUCCAGGCAACUCCAAUGGAUUGGCCACCCUGGCCAAUGUGUUCUAGUAUGUUACGUUUAUGUUCCCCUGCUUUCUACAAUCCUGUUCAAAGAGUUGCUGACUUAACCACAGAGAGGAUUCCAGAACCUGAGACACAGAAUAAACUUGAGCAAUCAUAGUCCAUCCACUUCAUUGUCUCAUCAAAAACCAAAGGUCCAGUGAAGCUCUGGAACUCAACGCUGUAAAGGAGCGAAGGAGCUUCUAUACAGAGCCUGGAUGCCUGUCUCCUUAUCCUACUUCAGUGGACUUGACUGCAAUCCGGAUUAUGCUGUUUUCUAAGCAUUUAAAAUAAAAUAAAAA
rnacentral:lncRNA from 1 species